rnacentral:rRNA from 1 species
CCUACGGGCGGCAGCAGUGGGGAAUAUUGGACAAUGGGGGGAACCCUGAUCCAGCCAUGCCGCGUGUGUGAAGAAGGCCCUCGGGUUGUAAAGCACUUUCAGUGAGGAAGAACGCCUGGUGGUUAAUACCCAUCAGGAAAGACAUCACUCACAGAAGAAGCACCGGCUAACUCCGUGCCAGCAGCCGCGGUAAUACGGAGGGUGCGAGCGUUAAUCGGAAUUACUGGGCGUAAAGCGCGCGUAGGUGGCUUGAUAAGCCGGUUGUGAAAGCCCCGGGCUCAACCUGGGAACGGCAUCCGGAACUGUCAAGCUAGAGUGCAGGAGAGGAAGGUAGAAUUCCCGGUGUAGCGGUGAAAUGCGUAGAGAUCGGGAGGAAUAUCAGUGGCGAAGGCGGCCUUCUGGACUGACACUGACACUGAGGUGCGAAAGCGUGGGUAGCAAACAGGAUUAGAUACCCGAGUAGUC